CUGGCCAUCUCACCAUCUCAGUUCCUAGCUGUGAGCCCUCAUUUGUCCCCAAGGACUUAUGGCUCCCAGAGCUGCUUACUUUUUAUGCAGUGACAUGUUUUCUCCCUAUGGUCCCAUCGAAAUGUUUCUAUCCCAGAUGUCAUUCAGUGACAGAGAGCUUGCCUCAUAUUCCUGAAGCCUUGGGUUCCAGCCUCAGCACUGUAUAAUCUCAGCAUUUUGAAUGUGGAGGCAAGAGAAGCAAAGUUCAAAGUUAUCUCCAGCUACUUGCCAAUGAAGACCUGCCCGACGGCAACCUCUGGAUGAUCUGGAAAGAAAAUGGGCCAUACCUCCUUGAGUACACUGGAUCCAACUUGUUUCAUUUCAACCAGAACUUCAGGUACUGACUUCAAUCAACACGAGAACUUCAAUCAAGGACUUCAACCUGGACCUUCAAUCAAGCAUCUCCCACCAGACACUGACUGGAUAUAACCCAUUCAGGACUUUUAUUACACUAACAUUUCUUCCCACAGGACCCUACAAGGCUGUCAUCCUCCCAGUUCAGCAGGAAGUAGCAUGGAAAAUGCUACUUUCCCCCUUUCCCCACUGUUGACACCUAUUUAGAGCUAGUUUCCAAUUGUUUAAGGUUGGGCUUGGUAGGAGGUGUUCAAGCUUGGACAUCUCUUUCAGAUGACUUUAAGGUUUAGUUGGAAUAGUUAUAGUUAAGAUGUGACAUCAGUAGAUUAUUAUAACUUCUUGUAAUUCACCCUUAUGAUUGUUAAAGAUAGAUAAUUUGGUGGGAUUCUAGGUGUGUGCCAGAAUUACUCCAGUGUAGGGAGACACUGUAGCCCCACCUCCUAGUAGCCUGGACAGGUGUGCUGGGACACGCCCUUAAGGGCGUGGUUAGGGGAAGUCUAAGGUGACGCAGGGAGGGUUCUUAAGGGACUGAGCACACAUGGGGACUCUUUUCCCUUCUUCCUUCUCUCCUGCCUGGCAAGUUUUGGCUUGCACCUGGCUGGUGUUAUCUGAAUAAAGAAAACCUUAGCCAUAUGGAUUUCGGAUUGAUCUCUUCACUCCAGUUUGAUUUUUUUCUUCUUAGCUUUGUCUGUGGGAGCAUAGUACAUGAUU
ensembl:lncRNA